rnacentral:rRNA from 1 species
GCGUGAGUGAAGAAGGCCUUCGGGUUGUAAAGCUCUUUUGGCGGGGACGAUGAUGACGGUACCCGCAGAAUAAGCACCGGCUAACUUCGUGCCAGCAGCCGCGGUAAUACGAAGGGUGCGAGCGUUGUUCGGAGUCACUGGGCGUAAAGGGCGCGUAGGCGGUUAUCCAAGUUAGGUGUGAAAGCCCUGGGCUCAACCCGGGAAUUGCACUUGAUACUGGAUGGCUAGAGAGAGGAAGAGGAUAGCGGAAUUCCUAGUGUAGAGGUGAAAUUCGU